UUCCACCCCCGUGACCCCCUGGCGUCCUCUCCACCACCGCAGCCCAACUGCUACGCCAAGGUGAUCACCAUCGAGGCGCAGAAGAAGAUCGUCAUCUACUCGAAGCAGCCCAUCGGGGUCAACGAGGAGAUCACCUACGACUACAAGUUCCCCAUCGAGGACACCAAAAUCCCCUGCCUGUGCCGCACCGAGAGCUGCCGCGGCACGCUCAACUAGGCCACCGCGUGGUGGGCCCGGUGGUGGGCCUGGUGGUGGGCCUGGUGGUGGGCCUGGUGGUGGGCGAGGAGGCAGCGGCGUUGGGGAGAAGUCAACGUGGUUGGCAAGAGGUCAACGUGGUGGUGUUGGGUCAUCGUGGUUGGUGUUGGGUCAUCGUGGUCAUCACCAUGGUUGGCAAGAGGUCAACGCAGUUGGCAAGAGGUCGUCGGUGUGGUUGGCGUUGGGUCAUCGGUGUUGGCAAGAAGUCAUCAUGGUCAUCACCGUGGUCAUCACU
rnacentral:lncRNA from 1 species